AGGCUGAUGCCAAGAGACAUGAGGCGAGUAACACCGGCUGGAUGAGACCCCCAUACACACCAGCUACAUCUUGGGUCAUCAACUACUUACAUAAUGGCAUCAAACUGGUGUGAAAUUAUAUUUCCGUCAAGGCAUUAUCUACCUAAUACAAUGAAGAGGUAUUCAAAAAACUUUCCAAAACACAUGAAGUAAUGUUUCUGACGAUAUCAGAACCUGAUGAGCUGCUAUUAAGAUCAAAACAACAGAGUAAGGUUUAAGCUAUGGAUGUUGGUGAGAUUCCAUCUAGGAUUCCAGGGUGAUGAUCAAGGCGCCCCUCACCAUCCGCAGUUUCCAAAGCUAUUAACAACACCAUACCCACCAAGGGCGAAGGGACAUUCUCUCCGACAACAUGUUAUAAACAUCAUUCCGAAGGACAAGUCCGACUAUGCAACCAACAACCUUUGACAUAUCAUACUAAUGACAGUUUACAUAGUGUUUCACCUAUCGAAUAGUAUUUUUUUUCAUUUGAUGUUUUAUUAGCGUCGAUAUCUAUAGAUGCUUAAUAUAGCACUUUACAAACUGUUCACCGUGGCCUGUGAGC